rnacentral:rRNA from 1 species
UACGGGGGGGGCAAGCGUUGUUCGGAAUUACUGGGCGUAAAGGGCUCGUAGGCGGCCAACUAAGUCAUACGUGAAAUCCCUCGGCUUAACCGGGGAACUGCGUCUGAUACUGGAUGGCUUGAGUUCGGGAGAGGGAUGCGGAAUUCCAGGUGUAGCGGUGAAAUGCGUAGAUAUCUGGAGGAACACCGGUGGCGAAGGCGGGUCUCUGGGCCGAUACUGACGCUGAGGAGCGAAAGCGUGGGGAGCGAACAGG